AAUGGCUCACCAAGGCGACGACGGGUAGCCGGCCUGAGAGGGCGACCGGCCACACUGGGACUGAGACACGGCCCAGACUCCUACGGGAGGCAGCAGUGGGGAAUAUUGGGCAAUGGAGGAAACUCUGACCCAGCGACGCCGCGUGAGGGAUGAAGGCCUUCGGGUUGUAAACCUCUUUCAGUAGGGAAGAAGCGAAAGUGACGGUACCUACAGAAGAAGCACCGGCUAACUAUGUGCCAGCAGCCGCGGUAAUACAUAGGGUGCAAGCGUUGUCCGGAAUUAUUGGGCGUAAAGAGCUCGUAGGUGGUUCGAUACGUCGGAUGUGAAAAUCAGGGGCUCAACCCCUGACCUGCAUCCGAUACGGUCGAGCUGGNAGUUUGGUAGGGGAGACUGGAAUUCCU
rnacentral:rRNA from 1 species